rnacentral:tRNA from 1 species
GGAGGGGUGUCGGAGCGGUUGAUCGAGCUCGACUCGAAAUCGAGUAGGCGUCUAAAAAGCGCCUCGUGGGUUCGAAUCCCACCCCCUCCGCCA